rnacentral:tRNA from 43 species
GCCCAGGUAGCUCAGUUGGUAGAGCAGCGGACUGAAAAUCCGCGUGUCGGUGGUUCGAUUCCGCCCCUGGGCACCA